UGGAUCGCUGAGUGUUUGACA
rnacentral:misc_RNA from 1 species